rnacentral:rRNA from 1 species
AGAGUUUGAUUAUGGCUCAGAUUGAACGCUGGCGGCAGGCCUAACACAUGCAAGUCGAGCGGUAGCACAGGAGAGCUUGCUCUCCGGGUGACGAGCGGCGGACGGGUGAGUAAUGUCUGGGAAACUGCCUGAUGGAGGGGGAUAACUACUGGAAACGGUAGCUAAUACCGCAUAAUGUCGCAAGACCAAAGAGGGGGACCUUCGGGCCUCUUGCCAUCAGAUGUGCCCAGAUGGGAUUAGCUAGUAGGUGGGGUAACGGCUCACCUAGGCGACGAUCCCUAGCUGGUCUGAGAGGAUGACCAGCCACACUGGAACUGAGACACGGUCCAGACUCCUACGGGAGGCAGCAGUGGGGAAUAUUGCACAAUGGGCGCAAGCCUGAUGCAGCCAUGCCGCGUGUAUGAAGAAGGCCUUCGGGUUGUAAAGUACUUUCAGCGAGGAGGAAGGUGUUGAGGUUAAUAACCUCAGCAAUUGACGUUACUCGCAGAAGAAGCACCGGCUAACUCCGUGCCAGCCGCCGCGGUAA